GUGGGGAAUUUUGGACAAUGGGCGCAAGCCUGAUCCAGCAAUGCCGCUUGCAGGAAGAAGGCCUUCGGGUUGUAAACUGCUUUUGUACGGAACGAAAAGGCUCUGGUUAAUACCUGGGGCUCAUGACGGUACCGUAAGAAUAAGCACCGGCUAACUACGUGCCAGCAGCCGCGGUAAUACGUAGGGUGCAAGCGUUAAUCGGAAUUACUUGGCGUAAAGCGUGCGCAGGCGGUUUUGUAAGACAGACGUGAAAUCCCCGGGCUCAACCUGGGAAUGGCGUUUGUGACUGCAAAGCUGGAGUGCGGCAGAGGGGGAUGGAAUUCCGCGUGUAGCAGUGAAAUGCGUAGAUAUGCGGAGGAACACCGAUGGCGAAGGCAAUCCCCUGGGCCUGCACUGACGCUCAUGCACGAAAGCGUGGGGAGCAAACAGGAUUAGAAACCCCAGUAGUCC
rnacentral:rRNA from 1 species